GGUGAAACAAUAAAUUUGGAAUUGGAUGUGAGGAAUAGCAGUCAUAAAAAUAUUACCAAAUUCUCGGUGAUGUUAAAGAAACGUAUUACAAUCGAUUCCCUCUACGGUAAAAAUUUGGGUCAUUCCACUCACACAGUCGCUAGUAUAAGCAAGGAAAAGACUCGUGGCUGCAAAUGCAAUCAAGAUCAGAAAAUAAAAGUGAAUCUGAAAGUGCCGUUGAGGACUUUACCAACCGAUAUUUCUACAUCUACCUUAAUCAAAAAUUCAUAUUUUAUUGAGAUAAUUGGGCACGUUGGUUUUUGGCAUUGUAAUCCCACCUUGCGUAUACCUAUUGAAAUCGGAACAACACCACCUAGGGACUGUAAACAAACAACGUCAAGCCAUGUCGUUGAAUUUUUGUCCACGCCUCCCCCUUGUGUCACGCUGAAAGGGAUCCCUUAAUACUUAAGUUGAUUUGUGUGCUAUCAGAUAGACGUAAACGA